GUCCAAAUCUAGCCAGAAGCUGAACCACGAGAGCAUCACCACCAGCGUCGACGGGGCGAACGUUUGUAUCAAGUGGUGACCGAUCUGUCUCUCGAAGCGAAAGAAAACUACCAGCCGUGAGAAAUUUCCUGUGAAAAUCAAAUAUUGUUGUCUGGGAAAGUAAGAGUUUAGGAUGAUUCGUUCCAAUGACGUUGGACAAAAAAAAUCGAGCUUUGAUGUCGACAUGCACUUUUGCAACAAAGGAAAAGAGUAUAUUGAAUAUUAAAUUUCAAUUGUUGAUGCGUACCAUUUU